rnacentral:rRNA from 1 species
UACGUAGGGUGCGAGCGUUGUCCGGAAUUAUUGGGCGUAAAGAGCUUGUAGGCGGUCUGUCGCGUCUGCUGUGAAAAUCCGGGGCUCAACCCCGGACUUGCAGUGGGUACGGGCAGACUAGAGUGUGGUAGGGGAGACUGGAAUUCCUGGUGUAGCGGUGAAAUGCGCAGAUAUCAGGAGGAACACCGGUGGCGAAGGCGGGUCUCUGGGCAACAACUGACGCUGAGGAGCGAAAGCGUGGGGAGCAA